rnacentral:rRNA from 1 species
UUCCAAGGCCACACCUGACUGAAUGCACCUGAUCUCAGCUGACCUCGCAAGCUACACUAACCUUGGGCGCUUGGAUGAGAGACUGCCUGGGAAU